UGGGGUGUAGCUCAGUAGUAGAGCACUUGCCUAGCAUAUAGUGGCCCUGGGUUCAAUCCUGAGCACCUCAA
rnacentral:tRNA from 1 species